rnacentral:misc_RNA from 1 species
UUCCCUCUCUUUAAAUUCGAGAUUUCUGAUAAAUUUACUUGUUUGAUGUCUCAUUUCUGUUCCAAGGAUUUCGUUUCCUAAUAGACCGAUUGGAAAAAUGUGUAAACAUUUCAAGUUUUUAGCAAAAAAUCUACUAAAAGUGUCGGGUAGCAAAGAAACAUAAAUUAAAAGAAGCUUCGUAAAACAAUUUUCGAAAUCGCGAGUUAGUAAUGUGGCGAUCUUAAGGUCAAGAUAGGUAUUUACUAUCCCGUGUUACGAAACUUUGGUUCAAUAUACUCUAGGGAGAAAUAUCUAAAAAUGUCUUUUUCAGCUUCCACGGGAUCCUUCCACUCAUUAAAUUCGUCGGGACAUAUGUCUUUUCCUGUUUUAAGAUUUAUGAUUUCGAACGAAUCAUAGCUUAGACCCAAAUGAGAGUUAGCAUAAAGCUUCAAAUCGCGAAGAAAAAAUAUUCCUCCACUCCAUCCUAAUACGGCAGAGCCUAUGUAUGCAGGCGGCACUACUAUAAUAUCAACACGCCUAUUGAUUUUAGAAGAAUUUGACAAAAUGACUGCUAGCAUUACAUAACCUUUCUUUCCUCCGCAAGAAUGUUCCUGAACAGAAAUUAGUCGGAAUUGAAAUUCCUCGUCUAAAAUUCUUAAGAGAACAUCCACCAGAUGUUUUGUAGAAUGAGUAUGUGAUGGACUCAACACCAUAUCAACGUCCGCUCCAACAGGCUUUCCCCGACGAAAUCCACCUACUAGACAAGACUGAAUUUUAAUUCCAUCCGGCAUCCGUGAGACAAUAGUUUCAUAAAUCUCCGUGGCUUCCUCAAUGGUUACAGUUUUACAAAAAUCUUCAUAAAACUCCAGACCAACUUUUAUUUGUUUGGUAAAUGAAUCUUUGUGCUUCCUAACUUGUUCAAUCGUACGCCAACCCUUUUGGUACCAUUCAGCAGCAUGAGAAGCACCAACUCCGAAAAUAUUGUAAAAUAAAAGCAAAAUUUUUGAAGCCGGAUCCUUCUGAAAUUCCUCAGCUUCUUUUAAGGUUCCCGUUGAUGCAAACUCUUUCCAAAGAUGUACUAUUUUGGGCCCACAACCGGGCAUUUUCUCUAAUUGUUCUGCGCUAUCGAUAGGCAAGGGAAAAGCUUUAAUGGUUGCAAUCGCCAUUCCGUAUGCCCUAGUCCUUACUGAUUCACCGUUUACUUCUCUGCAUGUUUUCAAGACACUUAAAGCAUUCACAAAGGCUUGAUUGACACAUUUAAGCGGUGUCUUUCUCUGGCACGCAUACCGUGGAAUUUCAAGAACGUAAGGGUAUUCUUUCGUAGUCGGAUAAACUGAUCCUUCUUGAUCAACAUUGUCAAUGCUUUUAACUUCGUUAUUAUUUUCUGUGUUUGGAGUUUCGUGGUUUUCAAAAUCGUUUGGUGCUUCAGUGUGCGAAGCAGGUCUUGUUGAAGGUGUGUACGGCGAGCCAACUUUCAUCUCUGGUUUUCGAUGCCAUAUCACAUAUGGAUUCCCGGGCGUUAAAGAUUCUUUAGGCUCGUUAAGCCAGUCAAUUUUAACAAUCAACUUACACGAUACACACGUCUCUAACGGUGUUCCAAUUGUUCUUAGCUCUCGCCGAACUCUGUUAAUUUGACUGUAAUUGACAAAAAUGUAAUCCGCUUUUGCUGCAUCGUUUGUGAAUUCUCCUCCAAAAUUUACAAUUUUUGAU